CUCCCUUGCUCCUUAUUACUGUCAUGAGAAAGGAACUCAUAUUGAUCCCCCUUGUAAUCUUUUUUAGGCCUGGUGGGUGUUGCAUGGUUGAACAUCUGGGAAUGCUGUUCUUUGCUGUCCAGUGAAUCAGCAGAAGGGGCGAUGGGCCCCAGGUGUCCUGCAGCCAACUGCGUCUCAAGGUAGAACCGGGACAUAGUGACAUGUUGUGUUUUGUCCAUGAAGAUGGAAAGAUCCUAGACUCUAGAUACUGCCAGCUUUCCAAUGAAAUUCACAUCCUAGAUAAGACCCUUGCUGCACAGGCAAGAUAGCUGACAUCAAGGCUCACAGACGAUGUAAGUUAUGACCAAAUCAAAACCGCUUCUCCGGGUCUUGUC
ensembl:lncRNA